rnacentral:rRNA from 1 species
AGUCCCAGCUGUAAACGAUGCGCGUUAGGUGUAUCGGUGACCACGAGUCACCGAGGUGCCGAAGGGAAACCGUGAAACGUGCCGCCUGGGAAGUACGGUCGCAAGGCUGAAACUUAAAGGAAUUGGCGGGGGAGCACCACAACAGGUGGAGCCUGCGGUUUAAUCGGACUCAACGCCGGGAAGCUCACCGGAUAAGACAGCUGAAUGAUAGCCGGGUUGAAGACUCUGCUUGACUAGCUGAGAGGAGGUGCAUGGC